AGCCUGAACCUUGGAGAACACCUCCCUUUCAUAUGACUUCUGCAAAGGGCGUGUUUCAGCUCACAGGGACAAAGAGUCACUGCACCAGAGAACCAGAAAGAGUGAAGAAAUGUUUGUCCCCGGUGCUGAGAACACCAUCAGAUGAUCUUUCUGCCCAGAGCCACUAUCUGUCCCUAAAUAUCAGGUUUAUCAAUGCCUGGCCAUCUCUUUUCAAUUUGGGACAACUGCCAGCGACCACUAGCUAGCUCCAGAAUUCCUCAGUUACAGACACGGCUCACAGGCUUAAGCGUCUUGCUGUAGGUCAUACGGCAGGUUAAUGACAACACUGGGGCAAGAACACAGGUUACGCUCGUCCUGGGGAAGGCUCCCACACCAAGCUACACACUUCUGCAAUGCUGUUCCAGAUGUGAAAAUCCGCUAAGACAAAUAGGUCACAAAAACACCAUGGGAAACGAUGAUGUCUUUUCCUUUUUGUUAUCUUGAUAAAGCUUCAUACAUGGGACAAAAGGAGGAACUAGCCCACCAAGCAGGUUUAAAGGGAGUGUCGGACACAAAAAUGACAUGCCCCAUAUUGCAGUCUAGAAGGAACAACACGGUGAAUUGUCUACUGCAGAACACUUCACUCUGUCUCGAUUACUACAUGGUGAAUUGAAGUUCCAGUAGAGAGGGAGUUGAGCUGAUACUGAGGAGAUAAAUACCCAUCACUGUAUACAUCUACUUCUUGGAAUUUGCAAGGGAACCAGUCAACAGAUUUUUCAAGCCUUAUAAGUUUAUCUGCCUGAGAAGUUCACCAGCUACAUAACAUCCUGGACUCUGGAGCCCAAGAGAUGUGUAGUUUCCAUUUUGGAGCCAUUUUCUUUGAUAAAUAAGUAGUGAGGCUGCCAUUCUUGUCAAAGUUGAGGACCACAACCUUACUCAUGAAACUGAAAGAUUGUUUGUUAUGAGGAGUUCUGUUUGAGCCAUACAAGCAAUAUAUCCUUUUUAAAGAAAUGUAUCCGGAAUCUUAGGUGUUCAUUGCUCCAAGCCAUGUGCAGAAUAAAAAGAAAACAAAAAACAAAAAA
rnacentral:lncRNA from 1 species